rnacentral:rRNA from 1 species
GAUGAACGCUGGCGGCGUGCUUAACACAUGCAAGUCGAACGGGAUCCCGGGGGUUCGCCUCCGGGUGAGAGUGGCGAACGGGUGAGUAAUGCGUGACCGACCUGCCCCAUACACCGGAAUAGCUCCUGGAAACGGGUGGUAAUGCCGGAUGCUCCGGUUGGAUGCAUGUCCUUCCGGGAAAGAUUCCAUCGGUAUGGGAUGGGGUCGCGUCCUAUCAGCUUGAUGGCGGGGUAACGGCCCACCAUGGCUUCGACGGGUAGCCGGCCUGAGAGGGCGACCGGCCACAUUGGGACUGAGAUACGGCCCAGACUCCUACGGGAGGCAGCAGUGGGGAAUAUUGCACAAUGGGCGCAAGCCUGAUGCAGCGACGCCGCGUGCGGGAUGGAGGCCUUCGGGUUGUAAACCGCUUUUGAUCGGGAGCAAGCCCUUCGGGGUGAGUGUACCCUUCGAAUAAGCACCGGCUAACUACGUGCCAGCAGCCGCGGUAAUACGUAGGGUGCAAGCGUUAUCCGGAAUUAUUGGGCGUAAAGGGCUCGUAGGCGGUUCGUCGCGUCCGGUGUGAAAGCCCAUCGCUUAACGGUGGGUCUGCGCCGGGUACGGGCGGGCUGGAGUGCGGUAGGGGAGACUGGAAUUCCCGGUGUAACGGUGGAAUGUGUAGAUAUCGGGAAGAACACCAAUGGCGAAGGCAGGUCUCUGGGCCGUCACUGACGCUGAGGAGCGACAGCGUGGGGAGCGAACAGG